AAAAAGAUAAACCCUGGGUUUCCGUGUCCAACGUUUGACUGUCUGUUUUAUAUGAAAUUUUUUUAUAAUCAGUAUUUUUAUUGAUGUUAUGUGAUAAAACAUGAUUAAUACUUUAUGUAUGACUUAUCUUUUUAAUUUUUUUCAUAAUUUUUUCAAAUAAGAUGGACGGUCAAAAGUUGGACACGGAAACCCAGGGUUUGUCUUUUU
rnacentral:pre_miRNA from 1 species